AAAAGAAUAGCGCCAGAACUUAAAAUUUUAAGUUGACGAGGACUGAAGGCAAUCGAAAAUUCGGCGGGUACUUCAGAGGGGGUUGCACCCUAAGAAACUUUACAAAACCAGAAAGCAAUUUGUGGGACAAAAGAG
rnacentral:ncRNA from 1 species